ensembl:lncRNA
CAGAGGUAAGCUGCUGUUAGUUACUCAAUCAGAUGAGCCUAGACACCCAUCAAAAAACAAUUAGCACUCACUUUAAAAUAGUGUGAUAAUGAAUUGCAUUAAUUGUUAAUGUUCACUUUCAGUGUCAUUACAGAACACAUCCUAAAUUCUUCCCUGUAGGAAAACCAAUUGACAGAACAGAAAUGCAAGAAGGUUGAGUGCAAUUAUCUGUAAUGGCCCAAGCUCCGUUGCUUACUUGUAAGAGUGAUUUUGGUCAUGCUUUCACCUGCUGGUGUCUGCUCACAAACAACACUGAUAACUGUUUCCAGGACCAGAUAAAACGGAUCUUUCCAUUCUAAACCAGUUUGGAAUGGCUGGGAUCCACUAAAACAAAACGAAGAAUAUUAAAAAUGAGCCUUGAGAUGGAUCCCUGGUUGACUCUACCUGCACCCUGCCUGUUUGAAUUUAUGCUGGUCAUCAAAAUAAGAAGCCUGGGGAAACCAGUGAAAUGUGAAUGUGAGAGGCAGCUCCUCCAGCCUUCUCUGCAAAUCAGAGGAGUCUCUUCAGAGCAGUCAUAUUGCAGACAGAUAUCUACUCCAAACAGGAAUUUAUGGAUGACUCGGUGGCCCUGUCCCGAGGGUUUGUCCUCCAAAAGGACCCAUGAGGGAUCUCCGCUUUAACUGCCAAGUCCAAGCAGCAUUGAGGCUGCAGUUCUGCACUCACGAUUCAUGGACCUGAGGUGCCCUGCAGGCUGUGCUGAAAUCGCUGGGAGCUGUAAGCAAUCACCAUCCUUUGAAAAGGCUAAAAUUGAGCCUUCAGUGAAUAAAUUAAGGACAGAGAUCCCUCA